GACGAACGCUGGCGGCGUGCCUAAUACAUGCAAGUUGAGCGAUGAAGAUUGGUGCUUGCACCAAUUUGAAGAGCAGCGAACGGGUGAGUAACGCGUGGGGAAUCUGCCUUUGAGCGGGGGACAACAUCUGGAAACGAAUGCUAAUACCGCAUAACAACUUUAAACAUAAGUUUUAAGUUUGAAAGAUGCAAUUGCAUCACUCAAAGAUGAUCCCGCGUUGUAUUAGCUAGUUGGUGAGGUAAAGGCUCACCAAGGCGAUGAUACAUAGCCGACCUGAGAGGGUGAUCGGCCACAUUGGGACUGAGACACGGCCCAAACUCCUACGGGAGGCAGCAGUAGGGAAUCUUCGGCAAUAGACGAAAGUCUGACCGAGCAACGCCGCGUGAGUGAAGAAGGUUUUCGGAUCGUAAAACUCUGUUGGUAGAGAAGAACGUUGGUGAGAGUGGAAAGCUCAUCAAGUGACGGUAACUACCCAGAAAGGGACGGCUAACUACGUG
rnacentral:rRNA from 1 species